rnacentral:lncRNA from 1 species
CCUGGGAACCUCCAUAUGCCGCGGGGAGCAGCCCAAGAAAUGGCAAAAAGACAAAAAAAAAUAAAAAAAUAAAAUUCUAUACAUAUCUUGUUUAUCCUCAAGGGAAAAUGAUUAGAUAAGAAAAUAAGAAUAUCAAUAAAGUAAAUAUGAUGGAUAUAUUCUUCUACAGAUAGAGUUUUAGAUACUUAACCUCAGUUAUCUAAGUUAAUCACUACAGUCAUAAGAUGUACAUACUAUUUUUUCCUGGAAUUUUGCACAUGAGAAAAGUAGAGAAUUCAGGCAAAUUGCCCAAGAACACUCAGGUAGACAAUGGCAGAUUUGAAUUUGUACACUGUAAAUUUGACCUUGAUGUCCCAGGUAAGUGGAUUAUUGUAGUCAGAAAACUGUAAAUGGAUUUACCCUACAUAUGUAUAAAUGUGAGAAUAAUCAGACUGUUUGAAAUCACAUUAUUUAGGAGAAUAUCUUAGAAAGAGAGGGAACAGAGUGAAUGAAAGCACUGCCUGGAAGACCUCAGGUGCACUGACAGUCAUUGACAAAAUGUUAUAUUGUAUUCAAGGAAUUAGAGGAAUGUUGAAAUAGGGUCCAUAAGCCUGCUUUCUGUGUUUACCCCAUUUUUCCUCUUCUUAAACUGCAUUUCUUCUUACAGUUAGUACCUAUUCUUUACUUCUCCUUCUCUAUAUUUUUAAUAAAGGCACAUGAACCCAAAGUGUUUAAGAAUUGAUAACCACAUAUCUACAUACAUGAAUAGAUGUCUACUUCGAGAAUCACAAUGAUAACAACAAUAUUCAUAACCCACGACAAUACCAGGGUCCAUCUGGAAGUUGAAGACAAGAUCUACAAAUGGUAGAAGAUAAUCGCAGUAGCUUACAGGUAAAAGAUUUCGGACAAUUUAGUCCAAUCUUUUACACAAAGCUGAAAUCUCCUCCACAAAAUUUAGAUGUCUAUUUAUCUAGGACUUUAAGAUUGAAUUAAUAAUUAGUAUUACUUGGGAAGAAAAUAAAUUUUAGGAUAUAAACUUAAGAAUGACAUCUUUCUGCGAAUACAAAAAACAUGCAAACUAUUACAACCAUAUAUGAAACAAUAGCUUUCAGUCUCCCAAACAGAUUGUAGAAAUAAGCUGCCUUGUUUUUAAGACUAUAAUGAGAUUUUUUCUUUCUAAGAGAGCUUAACUAGAAAAAAAAAAUCCCAAACCCUUUUCCCUUCUUUAUGUUUAACUUGAUCUGUGAAAUCUUCUACUGCUAUUGAUGACUCUAUUUCUCAAUUUGUUCCCUCUUUCAGCUGUUUUUCAAAUCUCUUUUAUACAAAAACACUUACCUUUGGGGGUUUUGUUAUUUUUCUCAGUUUACAUCAUUUCCAAUUUAUACCUGCCCAGAAAAAUGACUUAUUUCUUCUUUGUAUAAUUCCUUCCCAGUUUGACCAAAGACACUGGACUGUCUAGAGGUUUGUGUGAGCUUCACAAGUGAGAAAGAUUUACUGCAAUCUUGAUAGUCCCUAUGUCUAGAUCUGUUUUGUCAUUUUUUAACUUCAAAGUGAAAGAAAAUGUAGUUUUUUUCACAUCUAUUUUUAUUCAGUCAGCAUCUACACAGGCUUAAGAGUAAAACAUAUUGAAUUGAAAUUCAACAAUCAAGGGUUCGAAUCUGCUGUUAAGGAAAGAAAAGAGUAAGAGCAAGUCAGAUUUAUAGAACCUUGGUCAAUCUGUGCUUGGGCUAAGUAGAGGGGAAAAAACGAAAUAAAUAAGCAAUAGCAAAAACUUAAGAACUAAUUAAAAGACACUAGUGAGUUAAUAUGAAGAGUACUACAGAGUUCUGCCAUCCUUAGAAUCAAUCACCCAUGGCUGAUUAAAAAAUUUUUUUUCUCUUCUAAAUCUAUAACUCAGGUUGUGCUUGGGGAAAACAUAACCUGAAUUAAUGUCCAUAUAUCUUAAAUCAAUUUGAGUUAAUUCCAAUUUGACAUAAAAUGUAAGAGAGUGGUGAUAUAUGACUGGCGUCAUGUUCUCUAUUUCCUCUCAAUUUGUAUUGCCUUAUUUUUUUUCUGAGCAUUCUUGUAUGUUUAUAAGUCGUGAUAGGAGUUCCCAUUGUGGCGCAGUGGAAACAAAUCCAACUAGGAACCUGAGGUUAUGGGUUUGAUCCAUGGCCUCUCUCAGUGGGUUAAGGAUCCUGUGUUGCCAUGAGCUGUGGUGUAGGUCACAGAUGCGGCUCAGAUCUGUGUUCCUGUGGCUGUGGUGUAGGCUGACAGCUGUAUUUCCAAAUAGAUGCUAGCCUGGUAAUCUCCAUAUGCCGCAGGUGCAGCCCUAAAAAAAAGUUCAUAAUAAUUUCUGUAUAUUCAUGGUGUAAUCAUGUAUUGCUAAAUAAUGCAUUGUACCCUUUUCCAUGAAAAUUCUCUACUAUAUUAUAGAAUUAAAUUUUUCGUUGUUAAUAAAAUGAUUUAUCACUCUGUUGAAGAUUUUUAUGCAUUAGUGUCUUAACUGAUGCUUUGAAAAAUAAUACAUGCAUAUUUUUAAAGGUUUCCUUGAAGUCACACUGCUAUUAUACUAGAGAGGUUGCACCAUAUACUGGAAUGGACAUUACCUUGUAGGUAAGUGUUGCUGGGAGCAAAUAAUAUUUUUAGCAAUUACUAGCAAUACAUAGCUUUGCUAGAUCUAUUCAAAUAUAUUUUGUACAAAGAGCAGAAAUAAAACCAAAACUUUAAAAACACUAUGGAGAUGUGAGGAAUGGAAUGAGAAAUGGAGAUACAAGAGAAAAAUAAAAAAGCAAAAGAGUCAGAAUGAUUAAACAUAAUUGUAAUAAACAGGACAAGAGAUAUGAUUAUCAAUGCUUUACAUAUGAGAAGGAAAUGGUAGUCAUUAAAUUUCAAUUUUGCCCUUCUUCAAAAAUUUACUUUGGGGAGUUAUUUGAGAAUUAGCAAAUAUAUUUUUGGUAGAAAAGUUUAUUGCUCUCAUUAUAUGAUUAUCACUGCUAUAAUGAGUGAAAAAUGUGAAAAGAUUUUAAAAUUAAAGUAAAAGAUUUGCAGAGCACUUUGUUAAUCAAAUUCCUUUUAAUUCCACAUAAAUCACACCCACCUUAUUUCUCUCUGUAUGGUUCCGGAUCACUUAAGAGUUAUUAUAGAUAUUACCUCUCUACAAGAUUACUCUUAUUGUUUCCUAUGGGAUUUAUUCAACUGUUAUUUAUUAAACAUUAAUUUGAAAAGCAACAUUAAUCACCAUUGGCUUCCCAGGCAUCAUAAGCACACUAAAGACAUAGUAGUAUACUUGAGAGAAAAUAUUAGGGAUUAUGAAAUAUAAGGGGGACACAGUGUCUGUGGAAGAGGGGGAGCAAAAAUGGCUACCUCUCUCCCCAGCCACACCCUCUGUAACGUGUCUCUCUAGACUCAUUCACACAUAAGUAAUUUUAUUUCUCUCCCUUGAACUUUGACUGGUCCUGUGACCUGCUUGGCUCAUUGAACUGUGGGUGGAAGGGAUGUUGUGUCUAGGACUCAGAGCCCGUGUGUGCUUCCACUGUCUCUCCUGGAGCCCCAGGAUCCUACCAUGUGACCAAGUGUUAACUAGAGGAUAAAACUAUCUGGAAGAGAGUUCAGUUAUAUCAGUAAGGAGACAUUCAGCGUCUACAGUUGUGAAUGAGGCCUUACUGGACAGCAAGACGCAAUCAUCCAUAGUGACAAUUCUCCGAAGAAACCCAGCUAAGAUCAGAUGAUGUCUCCUCAAAUAGGCAGAAACAGCCUGUGGGCCCAGAAACUCAAGUUUUAAACCACUGGUUUUGUGAUGAUUAGUUAUUUCAUAAGAACUAACUGUAGCAUUUGACAGGUACAUACAUGCGGGUUCAAACACAGACUAAAGUACUAAGUGGGUUAGAGGGGGAUGCAGGGAAGAAAAACUUUAUAAGAGGUGACACCCUGUGCACAGGUCUAGAAAUGACAGUCAAAAACACUCCAGUCUGGACCACUGAGGUUUAUGGUGAGAAGUGUGAAAGACUGUAAGGAAUAAAAUAACCACAUGUAGAGAAUUUUUCUUUGGGAAAUAUUAGUGAAGGUCACACUUCAGGUUUUCUCAGUGUUGAAGAAAAUCUUUGAGGAAACAGUUAUGACUUCAUAUUGGAUCCCUUGCCUAUAACCCAAGGCUUCCAUGUAUUUUGCUGGUUUAAUUUUACUGAUGUUUAGCACUUUAAUUGGCUGAGAUUUGCUGACUCCUGUUGGCUUAACUUAGCUAUAUUUAGGACUUGCAUUGAAUUAUGUAUUUCAGCACCAGUGUUGUUUGUCAUCCUAAAGAUGGUUUUAAUGUCUCAGCAGGUUUUAUCAGAUCACGGCCACCUAGGUGAUGAAUUACUGUAGAGGCUCUGUUCUUUCACUUUAGGGAGAAUCCAGAGACUCUAAACUGGAAAUCUUUGGGGUUUAAAGUUCUUUUACAAGGUAGACAUGGAUCUCCAGCUGUCUAAACCCAUAGUGUUAAAAAUAUAUUCCUUUUUGCUCAAACUAACUCAUUAAUAUUUUGAAAAAUUAUCUUAUUCCUUCUUGAGAAGAGUAGCUGUAAUCGUACAUAAACUUUUUGGAUGUUUGGUUUUAAAGAAAGCAAUGGAUUUAUAGCGCAUUAUAUUCCUGUUAGUUCAAGAGUUCAAUUUGCUUUUUUUACACAUAAGAUUUAAUAGUUCUUUUACUGAUCGAGCCAGGUUAGAGUUUAGGUAAGGCCCUUUUCCUGGAAAUUUAAUUUCAUGCUCUCUUGAUAUGAGAUGUUAUCUUGGAGAAAAUUUAUUUACAAUAAGACUUGAAAUGACUCAUCUUGUUUUUUUGACAAGCACUGAAAUGAUGACUUGCUAGUAAAGAUUUAGGAGUAACAGUGUUUAAGCUUUUGCUAUGAACAGAUAAUAGAACAGAGUAUAAUAGUUAAGAUUGAAGAUUAUGGAGUUCCUGCUGUGGUGCAGCAGGUUAAGAUCCAGCAUUGCUGCAACUUCUUUAGGCUUCAGCUGCAGCCUGGAUUCAAUGCCUGGCCUGGGAACUUCCAUAGGCUGCA